rnacentral:rRNA from 1 species
CAGUAGCCACGGUAAUACGAAGGGGGCUAGCGUUGUUCGGAUUUACUGGGCGUAAAGGGCGCGUAGGCGGACUGAUAAGUCAGGGGUGAAAUCCCAAGGCUCAACCUUGGAACUGCCUUUGAUACUGUUUGUCUUGAGUUCGAGAGAGGUAAGUGGAACUGCGAGUGUAGAGGUGAAAUUCGUAGAUAUUCGCAAGAACACCAGUGGCGAAGGCGGCUUACUGGCUCGAAACUGACGCUGAGGCGCGAAAGCGUGGGGAGCAAACAGGAUUAGAUACCCGGGUAGUCCCUGUCUCUUAUAA